rnacentral:lncRNA from 1 species
GCCUCUGUGUCUCCACAGUGGCCAGAGGGGAGCCUGCCUGACUGAUGAGCAAGGCUCCACUUUGUCACCAAGGCAGAGAAGGGGCCCGGCUCCCUGAUCUGAUCGUGGACACUGCAGUCCCCAGAUGGCUUAUCCCGUUAAGCUAAGCCCUCGGCCAUCCCUCCAGCUUUAGGAAGAAAAGCGGUUCUGGCCCAAGCCAGACUGAGCUUCCUGGGGUCUUCUCUGGCCCAGCCUUUGACUGAAGCUGGUCUGGAGACAGGGGCGUUAGAGAAGUGACUCAUAGAUGGCCUAAAUAAGCGGGGCCACUCAAGGACCCAGGACAGGGGGAAGAGGGCCAACCCAUCUGGACCGCAGGCAAACCCCAUGGCCUUUGAGAGAAGAGAGAAGAGGACCCGGUGAAGUAGGCUCCGAGGGCCUCAGCCCAGCAGGAGCGCAGGGAGCUGCACCAGGAACUCACAGAGGAUCAGGGAGAAUUCUGAGAACAUGCUACUGUGGUGCUGCCUAGAGAGGAAGGAUAAAUGAUGACAAGUACAUCUCUGAGUAACGUAUGGGCACUUGUUCAUGAAAACUGUUUUUCUGAAAGCUUGUGAAGGUCUUGAAAUACUCGCUAUCAGUUGAGGACAAACAUUUACACCCUCCUUCCACAGGGAGUUCAAGCAGGCUGGAUGGGUCCAUCUAUGGAUGAUCUUCCCCAGCCCCUUCCUCUUCCCAGCUCAUCCCUGGCUCUCUGUGUGAACAGGUCUCAUCAGUGGAAUGUGGUUGAUGAAGUGAGGUCUUCAAUUUUCUCAUCUACUGUGUGGUCAUGUUAUUUUCCUCAUCUGAGGCUUAAAAACUCACCUGCAUGCAGCACAUGACAGCUUAAAAUCUCUUGUGAACAAAACAGUAACAAAGACACCCACCAGCGUUGAGCAUCCCGUGUUGAUGACAGCGACCACCAGGGGUCAACGUCCUCUUCACAAUCCUGUGUCAGAGCAUCACUUGACUGAUUUCAUUAGCAACUUCCCAGGAGAAUCAGCUUACAAAAUACUUGUCCCAUUUUCCAUGCAGAUGUAACCCAUCUAUUUUACUGAAGAAAUGGGAAGAGCUGAAUGCUGAAUACACUGAAUGUCUGCAGGUUGUGCAAGUUUGUGACUUUAUCACUUUCUAAUUUCUGAUCUGUGUGGACCACUCUACAGAUUUUUCUCACUGGUGUGAUCAGCCUUCUGGAUGUCAAAUAUAAUAGACUUUCAAUAAUAUAAAAGUCAACACAAGCUCCUCAUGGUUUCAGUGCUCAGUGAUGACUCUAAACUUACACAAUGUGUUUCUUUAUUAGUUUUGUUUUCUGGUAUCUCUACUCGGCAUCUUCACCACACCCAUUUUAUGUUUCUUAUACAGGCUUUCUUCUAUGAAAUGCUAUGUCAUGAAUAUGCAAAUAACCUGAGAUCCACUGAGGUAAAUUUGGAUGUCUGUGCCCUGAGAGCAUCACCCAACAACCACAUCCCUCCUCUAUAGAAGCCCCUGAGAACACAGCUCCUCACCAUGGACUGUACCUGGGGGAUCCACUUCUUGGUGGCAGCUGCCACAGGUGUCCAUUCCCAGGUUCAGCUGUUGCAGCCUGGGGCUGAGGUGAAGAAGCCUGGGUCCUCAGUGAAGGUCUCCUGCCAGGCUUCCAGAUACACCUUCACCAAAUACUUUACACGGUGGGUGUGACAAAGCCCUGGACAAGGGCAUAGUGGAUGGGAUGAAUCAACCCUUACAAUGAUAACACACACUAUGCACAGACGUUCUGGGGCAGAGUCACCAUUACCAGUGACAGGUCCAUGAGCACAGCCUACAUGGAGCUGAGCAACCUGAGAUCUGAAGACAUGGUCAUGUAUUACUGUGUGAGAGACACAGUGCAAAAACCCACAUCCUGAGAGUGUCAGAAACCCCAGGAAGGAGACACCUGUGCUGACACAGAGGAGAUGACAAAGAUUAUUAGAUUAAAGAUUUGCUUAGAAAAUGACAUUAAGUCAUUAAAGAAAAGGAACAAUAUUAAUGUGUAUUUGAGAAAUUUUAAUUAUUUGAGAGAUUUUUCAUACAACAUUUAUUCUGUAAACAAAUUUCAAUGAUUAGAGAAUUAAUCAAAUUAAUGAAACUAAUAUAGAACUUCCUCUGAAGGUAUCUCUGUAAACAUUAAUUUCUUAAUCAGUGCUGUAAGUAUUUUGGAAUACAGACACAAAAUCACAUUUUAAGUCUGCAUUUAUAUCUAUUAAAAAUGCCAAAAAAAUCUCCUUUUGUGCGUGUAGCAUUUUGAAUUCCCACCAUCAAUGCAUGAUAGUUCUUGGUUUUCCACAUUCAUAUUGCCAUGUAUCCUUAUGAGAGUUGUGUGUUUUAACCAAUCUAGUAGGUGAGUAAUGGGAUCUAAUUUUUAUUUAAAUGCACAUGUCCCUCAAAAAGUUCAUAUUUAACAAUUUUCCAAUAACUUUUGUUGAGAUGCCU